rnacentral:rRNA from 1 species
UACGGAGGGUGCGAGCGUUGUCCGGAAUCACUGGGCGUAAAGGGCGCGUAGGCGGCCUGAUAAGUAGGGGGUGAAAUCCUGCGGCUUAACCGCAGGGCUGCCUUCUAAACUGUCAGGCUCGAGCACAGUAGAGGCAGGUGGAAUUCCCGGUGGUAGCGGUGGAAUGCGUAGAGAUCGGGAAGAACAUCAGUGGCGAAGGCGGCCUGCUGGGCUGUGCUGACGCUGAGGCGCGAGCAG